rnacentral:rRNA from 1 species
AUUGAACGCUGGCGGCAUGCUUUACACAUGCAAGUCGAACGGUAACAGGGUGCUUGCACCGCUGACGAGUGGCGAACGGGUGAGUAAUGCGUCGGAACGUGCCGAGUAGUGGGGGAUAACGCAGCGAAAGUUGUGCUAAUACCGCAUACGUACUGAGGUAGAAAGUGGGGGACCUUCGGGCCUCACGCUAUUCGAGCGGCCGACGUCUGAUUAGCUAGUAGGUGAGGUAAGAGCUCACCUAGGCGACGAUCAGUAGCGGGUCUGAGAGGAUGAUCCGCCACACUGGGACUGAGACACGGCCCAGACUCCUACGGGAGGCAGCAGUGGGGAAUUUUGGACAAUGGGCGCAAGCCUGAUCCAGCCAUGCCGCGUGUCUGAAGAAGGCCUUCGGGUUGUAAACUGCUUUUGUACGGAACGAAACGGCCUGGGUUAAUACCCUGGGCUAAUGACGGUACCGUAAGAAUAAGCACCGGCUAACUACGUGCCAGCAGCCGCAGUAAUAC